rfam:Gossypium raimondii Chr01_contig_9, whole genome shotgun sequence.
UGUUAAAAAUUUCAUCUAUUUCUAUUGUAAAAAACUGGCGUGGUUGACGAAAUAACCAGACAGUUACACUUGUCAUGCUACGUGUGCCUUGUGCUAACGUACAUGGACCAGUUUUUAACAAUAGAAAUGAAUGUAAUUUAUAACA